rnacentral:sRNA from 1 species
UUGACAGCGCUGGAAAUUGAAGUUCCUUUUUUAUCUACAGAACAGGUACAGCAUGUACAGAGGCAACACAAACCCAGACUGCUGAUGUAUCUUAGCUCUGUCCUGGGCUUAGCAAUGUGAAGGGAAGAGGGAAUAAGCUUCUCCUCAGGGCUCUGUGAUGUUGUGUUGCU